rnacentral:tRNA from 4 species
GCGCGCUUAGCUCAGUGGUAGAGCGACCCGUUUACACCGGGUAGGUCCGGGGUUCAAUCCCUCGAGCGCGCA